AACAGUUACAUUAUACUCUGAGAAGUGAGGCAUGGACUGCACUGCAGGUGUUCUCUGGAGAUUACUGCAACACCGGUGUUUAUCAACUGCCUCUAUACCUGGGGGCUCCCAGCCAGGUCAUCCUGCAUUCCUUAUCCCAAGGGAAAUGUAGCAGCAUUAUGAAGAGCUUGCUCCAUAAGGACAUGAUCAAAUUGGUGCAAGGUGCGUCUGUACUUGUUCAUAUAGCUGAUGGACGGUGGGAUGAAGAAUUCAGAUAUACAAUGCAGGACAUUGAUCAAUCCUACAUGCCCAAGAAUGCUCUGGAUCUGUACUAUAAAGAACCCUCCGGAGCUAAAAUUGCCGAAUUAAUACCACAAGAGAGAUUACAACAGGUAGAAGAGAUUUUG